rnacentral:rRNA from 1 species
GACGAACCGAGCGAACGUUGUUCGGAAUCACUGGGCUUAAAGGGCGCGUAGGCGGGCUGCCGAGUCCGGGGUGAAAGCCCCCCGCUCAACGGGGGAACGGCCUCGGAUACUGGCGGCCUGGAGGCGGGUAGGGGCGUGCGGAACUGUGGGUGGAGCGGUGAAAUGCGUUGAGAUCCACAGGAACUCCGGUGGCGAAGGCGGCACGCUGGACCCGAACUGACGCUGAGGCGCGAAAGCCAGGGGAGCGAACGGG